GCCAAUCAGAAAGUGGCUGGAGCCAAGGGAAAUGAGAGUAACAUUUCCUGUGAAGGGCUCUGCAGAUAUUAUCCCAAGAUCUUUUUCCGCUCAUUUCUCUGUGCUUUUCCAUUGUGCUGAGGAAAUGUUUUAGUCAAGUACGAUUAAUGCAGUCUAAGGUUAAUUCUAGGUGAGAGGAAGCGAAUGGAUGAAUGAAUGCCUCAAUCAAUUGGCAUGAGGGACCUGGUUUUAUUCCCGGUGUUAAAUCUUUUCUUGCUUUUUCUCCCCAAAACUCUCUGACAGUUAGAAGCAUCAACCACCAAACUUUUCAUUUGUCAACCAAUUAGGUAGUCUUGUAAUCUCAUGUCAAGUGAUAUCCGUAACCAGAGAAAACAUACUUGCAAAAUCAAGAGAGAUAAAGUGAAAAGAGUAUGCAUGACAUGAGCAUAUAUAUGUCUACACAAUUUAAGACAGAACAUUGUCAUAUGUAUUAUAUGCUAUUAUGUCAUAGAGAUAGCAUCAUUACCUAUGGCUGCCUGUGGUAUUCCUUCUUCUUGUACAUGUUUAACCAUUUGGCUGACAAUGAGCAGGUGGCUAUAUCUAGAGCUCUGAAUGGUGUUGGCCUUGCGUUAGUUGCAC
rnacentral:lncRNA from 1 species